GGUGUUAUAGUAUAAUGGUUAGUACAUCAUGUUGUGGCUUGAAUUUCAAACCAACAACUGAUCCGUGAAGAUCCCGGUUCGAUUCCGGGUAACGCCA